GUCCCUUGCGGACGGAGCUGAAGCCAGUCGAAGAUACCAGCUGGCUGCAACUGUUUAUUAAAAACACAGCACUGUGCAAACACGAAAGUGGACGUAUACGGUGUGACGCCUGCCCGGUGCCGGAAGGUUAAUUGAUGGGGUCAGCAGCAAUGCGAAGCUCUUGAUCGAAGCCCCGGUAAACGGCGGCCGUAACUAUAACGGUCCUAAGGUAGCGAAAUUCCUUGUCGGGUAAGUUCCGACCUGCACGAAUGGCGUAAUGAUGGCCAGGCUGUCUCCACCCGAGACUCAGUGAAAUUGAACUCGCUGUGAAGAUGCAGUGUACCCGCGGCAAGACGGAAAGACCCCGUGAACCUUUACUAUAGCUUGACACUGAACAUUGAGCCUUGAUGUGUAGGAUAGGUGGGAGGCUUUGAAGUGUGGACGCCAGUCUGCAUGGAGCCAUCCUUGAAAUACCACCCUUUAAUGUUUGAUGUUCUAACGUAGGUCCCUAAUCGGGAUUGCGGACAGUGUCUGGUGGGUAGUUUGACUGGGGCGGUCUCCUCCCAAAGAGUAACGGAGGAGCACGAAGGUUAGCUAAUCACGGUCGGACAUCGUGAGGUUAGUGCAAAGGCAUAAGCUAGCUUGACUGUGAGAGUGACGGCUCGAGCAGGUGCGAAAGCAGGUCUUAGUGAUCCGGUGGUUCUGAAUGGAAGGGCCAUCGCUCAACGGAUAAAAGGUACUCCGGGGAUAACAGGCUGAUACCGCCCAAGAGUUCAUAUCGACGGCGGUGUUUGGCACCUCGAUGUCGGCUCAUCACAUCCUGGGGCUGAAGUAGGUCCCAAGGGUAUGGCUGUUCGCCAUUUAAAGUGGUACGCGAGCUGGGUUUAGAACGUCGUGAGACAGUUCGGUCCCUAUCUGCCGUGGGCGCUGGAGAAUUGAGGGGGGCUGCUCCUAGUACGAGAGGACCGGAGUGGACGCAUCACUGGUGUUCGGGUUGUCAUGCCAAUGGCAUUGCCCGGUAGCUAAAUGCGGAAGAGAUAAGCGCUGAAAGCAUCUAAGCGCGAAACUUGCCCCGAGAUGAAUUCUCCCUGGGUCCUUGAGACCCCUGAAGGGACGUUGAAGACUACGACGUUGAUAGGCUGGGUGUGUAAGUGUAGCGAUACAUUGAGCUAACCAGUACUAAUGACCCGUGAGGCUUAACCUU
rnacentral:rRNA from 1 species